rnacentral:tRNA from 1 species
GCCGGGGUGGCCGAGCGGUCCAAGGCGGUGGGCUCGAGACCUGCAUGUAUCCCUUUCCGGCUGCCCAAGGCUCCGGGAGACCCACUGCCCCGUGGAGGGGCGCGCGGGUUCAAAUCCCGCCCCCGGCG